GACGAACGCUGGCGGCGUGCUUAACACAUGCAAGUCGAACGGAAAGGCCCUGCUUGCAGGGUACUCGAGUGGCGAACGGGUGAGUAACACGUGGGUGAUCUGCCCUGCACUUCGGGAUAAGCUUGGGAAACUGGGUCUAAUACCGGAUAGGAACCAUCUUUAGUGUGGUGGUUGGAAAGUUUUUUCGGUGUAGGAUGAGCUCGCGGCCUAUCAGCUUGUUGGUGGGGUAAUGGCCUACCGAGGCGGCGACGGGUAGCCGGCCUGAGAGGGUGUACGGCCACAUUGGGACUGAGAUACGGCCCAGACUCCUACGGGAGGCAGCAGUGGGGAAUAUUGCACAAUGGGCGCAAGCCUGAUGCAGCGACGCCGCGUGGGGGAUGAAGGCCUUCGGGUUGUAAACUCCUUUCGCUAGGGACGAAGCUUUUUGUGACGGUACCUAGAUAAGAAGCACCGGCUAACUACGUG
rnacentral:rRNA from 1 species